UACGUAUGGUGCGAGCGUUGUCCGGAAUUAUUGGGCGUAAAGAGCUCGUAGGCGGUGUGUCACGUCGGCCGUGAAAACCUGGGGCUUAACUCUGGGCGUGCGGUCGAUACGGGCAUCACUAGAGUUCGGCAGGGGAGACUGGAAUUCCUGGUGUAGCGGUGAAAUGCGCAGAUAUCAGGAGGAACACCGGUGGCGAAGGCGGGUCUCUGGGCCGAUACUGACGCUGAGGAGCGAAAGCAUGGGGAGCGAACAGG
rnacentral:rRNA from 1 species